UACGUAGGGGUCGAGCGUUGUCCGGACUUACUGGGCGUAAAGCGUGGGUAGGUGGUCGGUGAUGUGCCGUGUGAAAGCGCCGCGCUUCUCGCGGCGAGGUCGCGGUAGACACACCGACUGGAGGCACGGAGGGGGGCGUAGAAUUCCCGGUGUAGUGGUGAAAUGCGUAGAUAUCGGGGAGGAAUACCAGUGGCGCAAGCGGCGCCCUGGCCGUGACCUGACACUGAGCCACGACGGCGUGGGGGAGCAAACGGG
rnacentral:rRNA from 1 species